UACAGAGGUCUCAAGCGUUGUUCGGAUUCAUUGGGCGCAAAGGGUGCGUAGGCGGCGCGGUAAGUCGGGUGUGAAAUCUCGGAGCUUAACUCCGAAACUGCAUUCGAUACUGCGGUGCUUGAGGACUGGAGAGGAGACUGGAAUUCAUGGUGUAGCGGUGAAAUGCGUAGAUAUCGUAAGGAAGACCAGUGGCGAAGGCGGGUCUCUGGACAGUUCCUGACGCUGAGGCACGAAGGCCAGGGGAGCAAACGGG
rnacentral:rRNA from 1 species